UACGAAGGGGACUAGCGUUGUUCGGAAUCACUGGGCGUAAAGGGCGCGUAGGCGGAUAGUUUAGUCAGAGGUGAAAGCCCAGGGCUCAACCCUGGAAUUGCCUUUGAUACUGGCUAUCUUGAGUUCGGGAGAGGUGAGUGGAACUCCGAGUGUAGAGGUGAAAUUCGUAGAUAUUCGGAAGAACACCAGUGGCGAAGGCGACUCACUGGCCCGAUACUGACGCUGAGGCGCGAAAGCGUGGGGAGCAAACAGG
rnacentral:rRNA from 1 species